rnacentral:tRNA from 1 species
GCCGCCUUAGCUCAGUCGGUAGAGCAACGCACUCGUAAUGCGUAGGUCGUCGGUUCGAGUCCGACAGGCGGCUCCA